rnacentral:lncRNA from 1 species
AUAACCAACGAAUCAAAACAUGCUUAUUUAACUCUUUCACAUAUACAUAACAUAUUUAAUAAUUUAACCUUAUCAAUAACAUUUAUCUAAUCAUCUUUCAAACCAAACUAACAUACCUCAAACCAUGUUUCAUGUUUCAUAAAUCCCAUGUUCGAAACAUAGGACCACAAUUUCAUGGUAUUCGAACUCUUGAAUAUAAUUAAGCUUAUUUCAUUACAAUUUCAUAUAACGAGCAUAUGUAUCACCACAUUCAUUUAUAUAAAUUCAUUUCAUUCAUUGUCAUGUAUUUCACAUAUUGUCAUUUGAAACAUACUCAC